CAGCUCUGAAGCUCUUGACCUAGAUUACAUUCUUUGUUUCAUCGCUGUCUGUUGACUGAACCUCCGGCUUCCGAUCCAGAAGACAGAGAAAACUCCUAUCUGCUGUGAGAGGCAAGAAUUCAGAGAGGUUGAGGAACUGGCGGAAGGUCGCACAGCUGGUGAGAGGCAUUGCUGUCAUUUCACAGAAUGCUGCCUGGGCUGGGAGCCACACUAGGUCAGUCACCAUGGAGGCGCCUGUGACACCGCUCUUCACCACGAGGAGGCCUGGCCUGCUUCUGCCUUGCCCUGAGGCUUAGGGAAGGUGCUCCCCAAACACUGAGGUACAGGUCUGUGAUUCAUCAGUCUU